rnacentral:sRNA from 1 species
AUCAUCCGAGAAACCAAAGGUUGAUCUACCCAUGCACAUUAUGGUUUUACGACAACUUCCAUCAAUUGGUACUUUUCUUAAAACUCCACUACGAGUCUAAUAUCUAUGACAAUUCUAGCAGAAGUAGCGAGGUUGAGUCUUAUUGUAGGUGUUAUAAUAACAAAACUUAGUGUUAUCAGAAUCACAUCUUGACAUCAAAAAGUUUUUUUUUAUUACAACUAGUACAGUGAGACUCAACCGCACUACUUCUACAAGAACUGUCGUAGAUAUUGGACUCAUGGUGGAGCUUUAAGGGACAUACCAAUUGGUGGAAGUUGUCAUAAGACCAAAUGAGCAAGGGUAGAUCAACAUUCAGUUUCUCAUAUGGUUUCUGUUGAGAUCCGACAUGGUAUUUAUCAACCCGUCUUACAUGUUCAA